GUGGGAAUAGGUUAUAUCCUCUGAGCAGCCACUACCUAUCAGGCACUUGUGGCCUCAACAGCUGUUUUCCAAAGGCUGAGGUGUUGGAAGAUUACUUAUCAUGCACCCGUGUAUCUUUGGCUCCUGUGCAGGUGUGUUGCAUAAAAAUAACUAUCAUUUAUUACACACCUGCUAUGUACUUGGUAUUUUAAAUGUGUUGCUCCUAACUCCCAUAACACCUCUGAUGAGUAGGAUAUGGUGCACUAAUUUUACAGAGGAGAAAAGUCAAAUUCAGACAUGGAAGUGUUAUGGCGAGAUUGCAAUAAAUCACUAAGUCGAUCUUAGAGCAGGAGAUGGAAACUUAUUCACCAGCUGGUGGUCCGGAUCCACCAACUGACAGGCCAAGUCUACACCCUUUGACCCCCUCCUGGGGUCUGAGUAUACCUUUUGUAGUCCCAAACCAUAUUAAUCAUAAGUGGCUGUUGCUAUGAUUCAAAACCAUAAACAAAUAUCAUGAGAUCUAAAAUCAUAAGCAGAAGAGCGAGUGGGUCAAAACAUCCUUAGUUGAGCACAAGUUAAAGAAUGGUUACCAACAUCUAGACAAACCAAUCUCUGAGAAAAAUGAGAACCAAAGAGAGAACUAUUUUACAUUGUAUAAGAAUUGCCAUUUUGUGUUGCCAAACAUGCUAAGCUAAGCGACUGUUGAUAGGUAGAGAGGCAGGGCUUUCCCAGGGAAGAAGCAGUUUUACAUGAUGUGGAGUCUCAGGGUUAGAUGGAGUCUGUUUGGUAAUGACCAAAUCUAGGCCCAUGUAGCCUGGCCCAUAACAGAAGGGUUUGCAGGUGAUGACAGGGUCCUUUCUUGUUACCUCUGGAAUCUUCUCCAGGGUCCUGGGUCUGUCCGCAGGGCAGGGUUGUCAAGGGAACUAUGGGAAUCUGGGAUGUGAGACGGACAGAUGGGGGUGCCAAGGUUCCCUUUGAGCAAAUAGUGGCGGUGAUUCAAUGCCACAGGGAGGUGAUAGAACAUGUUCCGCUAGCAGAAGUUCACUUAGGAGACCUGAGUUUGAGCCAAAGACCAGAGUAGGCUCCCCAGUGAGCCACAGGAGACAGGAGUCAGACUUAAGAUGUCAUUCAGUUGAGUUGCUUGACUGAGUAGUUUAAUAAACGAAGUAGCCUGGGCUCCUCAGAUAUCAAGGUCUUUGCUCCAUUUCCCCCAAUUCCUAGUUUGACAAAGGAAGAGAAAAGUAAUCAGAGCCACAAAGCCAGGUCUUGGUCCUGUGGCCUUAAGCUAAUUCUCAGAGCCUUAAUUUCCAUUUUUGUUAAAAUGGGUUGAUAUUUCAUUCUAUUUGGGGAAAAAUUCAAUGAGAAAAAGAUCUGAUAAACCAC
rnacentral:lncRNA from 1 species